GUUGAGAUAGCCAAGUUGGUCUAAGACUCUAAGGUGCUAAAUUGUGGUUCUAGUCCGAAAGGGGGUGGGUUUAAAUCCCAAUCUCAACA
rnacentral:tRNA from 1 species